AUGACCGAGUCCCGUAUUUCCUCAGACCCCUUUUAUUCGCUGCCAACAAGGGGCAAAGUGCGCGGAGUCGGCUCGCCGUGGGAGACCCGCCUGGGCGGGAGAGGGGAGGAGACAGAGCUGAGGCGUGCUGCGGGCUGGAGACGCACAAACAGGAUGCUGCAGACACACCGCGGCUCCGCAGCCGCAGCCCCAGCCUCUACCCCUGCCCCUGGGGAAAUGCUAAUGGGCUUCUGUAGAAUCUGGCGCGUCAUUGGCCGAAGGGAAUUUGGUGCCACCUCGUCCAGCCGUUGCCAUUGGCUCGGCGCAAUCUGCUGUUCCCUCUGCCGCGAGCCUCUCGCUCCCCCUCCUCUCUCUUUCUCCUUCUCGGCUCCGCUUCCACCGGCCGCUGGGCCUGUGCCCGGCAUCCCGCGGCCUCGGAGGCGCUCGGGCGCUUUCCCUCCGCGCGCGGGAGAGGACCGGGGCCGGGAGUGGGGAGCGGGGGGUCGUCACCCGCCCGGGACUGCCCCCUCCCACUCGGCGGCCGGAUGGGCCCGAGGGAAGUCUCCCCGGCAACAGCGGGGAAGCCCCGGGCCCGAGCACGUCGCGCGGCUCGCUGCCGCCUUCCCGCUCCCAGAGACGCGUGGGAGGGCAGACGUGGCUUCGGAGCCGGGGUCCGGAGCCGAGGGGGCCGCCGGGGUCCCGCCUGGCUCCCCAGCAGGCGCGGGGCCGGGGGCCGCUGCGGAACAAUGGCCCCGCUCCGCCCACCGACCUCGCCGCGCUAACCCGAGCCCUCGCAGCUCGCGGGUCUCGGGGCCCGCGGGCCGGCGGUCGGCACACGCACGCACAUCCACGUGUGUGUGCGCGUGUGUGGACCUGCACGCGCGCACGGCGUUGUGCCACUGGGCGCGCCCAGCAGGGGACAGUCACCGCCAGGCACCGCGCGGCGGGGGGGUGGAAUCCCAUCUCUUUGCCCACGCGUCUGGGACGUGUGCGGGAGGUUCUGGGGACUGUUCAGAUGGUCAGCUGUCAUUUGGGGAUCGCCUUCAAGGGAAAAGGCAGGAAGCGCAGGCAUGUGCUUUCACACGUACGCAGGCCAGAGGACUGACUGGUACGGGCAGCAAAAAUGCCAAACAGGUAUCGCAUUAUUACCACAAGUCAAGUCACAAGGAUCGAUUGAUUUCAUCCCGACAGCGACCCCAGGAGGUGGGUUGUCUGUUGUGA
rnacentral:lncRNA from 1 species